UACAGAGGGGGCGAGCGUUGUUCGGAAUUACUGGGCGUAAAGGGCGCGUAGGCGGCCCGCUAAGUCGAACGUGAAAUCCCCAGGCUCAACCUGGGAACUGCGUCCGAUACUGGCAGGCUUGAAUCCGGGAGAGGGAUGUGGAAUUCCAGGUGUAGCGGUGAAAUGCGUAGAUAUCUGGAGGAACACCGGUGGCGAAGGCGGCAUCCUGGACCGGCAUUGACGCUGAUGAGCGAAAGCCAGGGGAGCAAACGGG
rnacentral:rRNA from 1 species